GAUGAACGCUGGCGGCGUGCUUAAUACAUGCAAGUCGAACGGUGAAACCGGAGCUUGCUCUGCUGGAUCAUUGCCGAACGGGUGAGUAAAACGUGAGCAAUAUGCCCCUGACACUGGGAUAAGAGCUGGAAAAGCCGUCUAUUACUGGAUACGAGCUACGAAGGCAUAUUCAUCAGCUGGAAAGAAUUUCUGUCAGGGAUGGGCUCGCGGCCUAUCCGCUUGAUUGUGAGGUAAUGGUUGACAAAGCCUACGACGGGUAGCCGGCCUGAGAGGUGGACCGGCCACACUGGGACUGAGAGACGGAGCAGAAGCGAACGGGAGGCAGCAGUGGGGAAUAUUGCACAGUGGGCGAAAGUCAGAUGCAGCGACGUCGCGUGAGGGAAGACGGCUUACGGGGGGUAAACCUAUUUUAGCAGGGAAGAAGCGAAAGUGACGGUACCUGCAGAGAAAGCGCCGGCUAACUACGUG
rnacentral:rRNA from 1 species